rnacentral:lncRNA from 1 species
GAAAGUGAAGAGCCUUCGGGCUGGGUGCGGUGGCUCACCCCUGUAAUCCCAGCACUUUGGGAGGCUGAGGCGGGCGGAUCAUGAGGUCAGGAGAUCGAGAUCAUCCUGGCUAACAGGGUGAAACCUCGUCUCUACUAAAAAUACAAAAAAUUAGCCAGGCGUGGUGGCACGCGCCUGUAAUUCCAGAUACUUGGGAGGCUGAGGCAGAAGAAUCAUUUGAACCCAGGAGGUAGAGGUUGCUGUGAGCUGAGAUGGGGCUAUUGCACUCCAGCCUGGACAACAAGAGCAAAACUCUGUCUCAAAAACAAAAAACAGGCCGGGCGCGGUGGCUCACGCCUGUAAUCCCAGCACUUCGGGAGACCGAGGCGGGCGGAUCAUGAGGUCAGGAGAUCGAGACCAUCCUGGCUAACACGGUGAAACCCCGUCUCUACUAAAACUACAAAAAA